rnacentral:rRNA from 1 species
UAAGUAGAUAGUGAAAUCUGGUGGCUCAACCAUUCAGACUGUUAUCUAAACUGCCCAGCUCGAGAGCGUUAGGGGUAGUUGGAAUUUCUAGUGUAGGAGUGAAAUCCGUAGAUAUUAGAAAGAACACCGAUAGCGUAGGCAGGCUACUGGGACGUUUCUGACACUAAGGCACGAAAGCGUGGGGAGCAAACGGGAUUAGAUACCCCGGUAGUCCACGCUGUAAACGAUGGAUACUA